rnacentral:rRNA from 1 species
AGCGAACGCUGGCGGCAUGCCUAACACAUGCAAGUCGCACGGGGGGGCUUCGGCCUCCCAGUGGCGGACGGGUGAGGAACGCGUAGGGACCUGUCGAGGGGUGGGGGAUAACCGCGGGAAACUGCGGCUAAUACCGCAUGACGCCGCGGCGUGACAGCCGGGGCCAAAGGCGAAAGCCGCCCGCCGAGGGGCCUGCGUCCGAUUAGCUGGUUGGCGGGGUAGCGACCCACCAAGGCGUCGAUCGGUAGCUGGUCUGAGAGGGUGAUCAGCCACACCGGGACUGAGACACGGCCCGGACUCCUACGGGAGGCAGCAGUGGGGAAUAUUGGACAAUGGGCGCAAGCCUGAUCCAGCAAUGCCGCGUGGGUGAAGAAGGUCUUCGGAUUGUAAAGCCCUUUCGGCGGGGACGAUGGUGACGGUACCCGCAGAAGAAGCCCCGGCUAACUUCGUG